CUGCUUCAAGAAUUCACCCUGGUGUUACGUUGCUGUUGCCCUGUGCUUCACUGCCAUGAUUCUGCUCAUCACUGUCAUCCUCAUGGCAGUGAAAUGUCCCCAGCUCCGAGGUGGACCCUGACAUCCUGCUGGAUAACUCGGUGCAGGAAGGCUAUGCUUCUUCAACAAAACAAGGCAUAAUGCUUGUUUACUUCUACAUUGUUUUCUCUGAAGAGACCUUUAUGAAAGAAGACAUGCCAUCAGUCUGAUGGGUCUUCAGUUAUGUCUUCCAGGAUCUCCGUUAAACCUCUAACCUCUGCAUAUAUGUACAAAACAUACAUUAUUACUUUUAUCUGGAGUUUUUUUUAAUCCUGUAAUACUAGCAACCAUCAACUCAUAUCAGUGGGUUUAAUAAGGCAUGGACUCAAGCUGCUGCGUCAAAAGUUGCAUUUGGGUAUUGUCUAGAAAUCACAAAUGAGCAGGUGGACCACUUUGAGACAGCACUUCUAAUUCACACCUGCCUUGAUUUUGCAGUAAUUUGCAGUAUAGCUAAGCUUUUAGAUUUCAAUAUGUGCAAGUACAAAAAUUCAUGGAUAAAACAGGGAAUUUGAAAGAUUGAACUUUUUUAUGAAGCCUAGAUUUGGAUGUGAUUUUUCAACUCCUGCAGCCUUUAGUGGGAUUUGUAUGAAAGGGGUAUUGAAGGUGCAAGAAAAAAUAUAUAUAUUUAGUAGAGGCGUCUCAGUCUUAUUCCCCCAUUGUCUGUUCUGGUUGCCCAGUAGAACAGUAGCUACCUCACAGAGAUACAAUAUGCUGUUUCUGUCUUGAGGUAGUAAUUCAUUUUGUAUUUGUUUCCGUUUUUUUCCCCAAAUGCUGUAGCUUUAGUUAAAUCAGAGUCCUCCCCUGGAACUAAGCCACCUCAGGUUCAAGUGCAUUUGUUUAUAAUUACUAUUUUGCUGUCUGUUUUUGUAUUAUUUUCAAUCCUCAUCCGUUAUAUUAUAACUCCUUUGGGGCAGGCUGAUAUUCAGACCCUGAGUAGGAGGUGUCUGUAUAGCAAAUUAUUUCUAAAAUCGUUCCCUGUAUAUAAGCUUAUCUGUACUUAAGCCGUGUUGCUGCUGUGGAUAAGCUACCACACUUUUAUAGUACAUACACCAGGAACCAAUAAAGAGAUUUAGUAAAGCA